rnacentral:rRNA from 1 species
UACGGAGGAUGCAAGCGUUAUCCGGAAUUAUUGGGCGUAAAGCGUCCGCAGGUGGUUUAUCAAGUCUGCUGUUAAAGCACAGGGCUUAACCCUGUAAAGGCAGUGGAAACUGAGAGACUAGAGUACGGUAGGGGUAGCGGGAAUUCCCAGUGUAGCGGUGAAAUGCGUAGAUAUUGGGAAGAACACCAGCGGCGAAGGCGCGCUACUAGGCCGAAACUGACACUCAUGGACGAAAGCUAGGGGAGCGAAAGGG